rnacentral:rRNA from 1 species
GAGUUUGAUUCUGGCUCAGGAUGAACGCUGGCGGCGUGCCUAACACAUGCAAGUCGAGCGCGGUUGUGCUUAGUAUUGAGUGUUUUAUUGAUAUAAAACAUUGAAUUCUAUGCACAGCUGAGCGGCGGACGGGUGAGUAACGCGUGGGUAACCUGCCCUAUACACAUGGAUAACAUACUGAAAAGUUUACUAAUACAUGAUAAAAUAGUUUUUCGGCAUCGAAGAAUUAUCAAAGUGUCAGCGGUAUAGGAUGGACCCGCGUCUGAUUAGCUAGUUGGUGAGAUAACUGCCCACCAAGGCGACGAUCAGUAGCCGACCUGAGAGGGUGAUCGGCCACAUUGGAACUGAGACACNGUCCAAACUCCUACGGGAGGCAGCAGUGGGGAAUAUUGCACAAUGGGCGCAAGCCUGAUGCAGCAANCGCCNCGUGAACGAUGAAGGUCUUCGGAUCGUAAAGUUCUGUUGCAGGGGAAGAUAAUGANCGUACCCU